UCACGGGAGACACACGGCGGGUGCUAACGUCCGUCGUGAAGAGGGAAACAACCCAGACCGCCAGCUAAGGUCCCAAAGUCAUGGUUAAGUGGGAAACGAUGUGGGAAGGCCCAGACAGCCAGGAUGUUGGCUUAGAAGCAGCCAUCAUUUAAAGAAAGCGUAAUAGCUCACUGGUCGAGUCGGCCUGCGCGGAAGAUGUAACGGGGCUAAACCAUGCACCGAAGCUGCGGCAGCGACGCUGAUGCGUUGUUGGGUAGGGGAGCGUUCUGUAAGCCUGUGAAGGUGUGCUGUGAGGCAUGCUGGAGGUAUCAGAAGUGCGAAUGCUGACAUAAGUAACGAUAAAGCGGGUGAAAAGCCCGCUCGCCGGAAGACCAAGGGUUCCUGUCCAACGUUAAUCGGGGCAGGGUGAGUCGACCCCUAAGGCGAGGCCGAAAGGCGUAGUCGAUGGGAAACAGGUUAAUAUUCCUGUACUUGGUGUUACUGCGAAGGGGGGACGGAGAAGGCUAUGUUGGCCGGGCGACGGUUGUCCCGGUUUAAGCGUGUAGGCUGGUUUUCCAGGCAAAUCCGGAAAACUAAGGCUGAGGCGUGAUGACGAGGCACUACGGUGCUGAAGCAACAAAUGCCCUGCUUCCAGGAAAAGCCUCUAAGCAUCAGGUAACAUCAAAUCGUACCCCAAACCGACACAGGUGGUCAGGUAGAGAAUACCAAGGCGCUUGAGAGAACUCGGGUGAAGGAACUAGGCAAAAUGGUGCCGUAACUUCGGGAGAAGGCACGCUGAUAUGUAGGUGAAGUCCCUCGCGGAUGGAGCUGAAAUCAGUCGAAGAUACCAGCUGGCUGCAACUGUUUAUUAAAAACACAGCACUGUGCAAACACGAAAGUGGACGUAUACGGUGUGACGCCUGCCCGGUGCCGGAAGGUUAAUUGAUGGGGUCAGCGCAAGCGAAGCUCUUGAUCGAAGCCCCGGUAAACGGCGGCCGUAACUAUAACGGUCCUAAGGUAGCGAAAUUCCUUGUCGGGUAAGUUCCGACCUGCACGAAUGGCGUAAUGAUGGCCAGGCUGUCUCCACCCGAGACUCAGUGAAAUUGAACUCGCUGUGAAGAUGCAGUGUACCCGCGGCAAGACGGAAAGACCCCGUGAACCUUUACUAUAGCUUGACACUGAACAUUGAGCCUUGAUGUGUAGGAUAGGUGGGAGGCUUUGAAGUGUGGACGCCAGUCUGCAUGGAGCCGACCUUGAAAUACCACCCUUUAAUGUUUGAUGUUCUAACGUUGACCCGUAAUCCGGGUUGCGGACAGUGUCUGGUGGGUAGUUUGACUGGGGCGGUCUCCUCCUAAAGAGUAACGGAGGAGCACGAAGGUUGGCUAAUCCUGGUCGGACAUCAGGAGGUUAGUGCAAUGGCAUAAGCCAGCUUGACUGCGAGCGUGACGGCGCGAGCAGGUGCGAAAGCAGGUCAUAGUGAUCCGGUGGUUCUGAAUGGAAGGGCCAUCGCUCAACGGAUAAAAGGUACUCCGGGGAUAACAGGCUGAUACCGCCCAAGAGUUCAUAUCGACGGCGGUGUUUGGCACCUCGAUGUCGGCUCAUCACAUCCUGGGGCUGAAGUAGGUCCCAAGGGUAUGGCUGUUCGCCAUUUAAAGUGGUACGCGAGCUGGGUUUAGAACGUCGUGAGACAGUUCGGUCCCUAUCUGCCGUGGGCGCUGGAGAACUGAGGGGGGCUGCUCCUAGUACGAGAGGACCGGAGUGGACGCAUCACUGGUGUUCGGGUUGUCAUGCCAAUGGCACUGCCCGGUAGCUAAAUGCGGAAGAGAUAAGUGCUGAAAGCAUCUAAGCACGAAACUUGCCCCGAGAUGAGUUCUCCCUGACUCCUUGAGAGUCCUGAAGGAACGUUGAAG
rnacentral:rRNA from 1 species